GGUUGACCUCGGAUCAGGUAGGAGUA
rnacentral:rRNA from 1 species